rnacentral:rRNA from 1 species
GAACGCUGGCGGUAUGCUUAACACAUGCAAGUCGAACGGACUCAGGGAGCUUGCUCCCAAAAGUUAGUGGCAGACGGGUGAGUAACGCGUGGGAAUCUGCCUAUCAGUAGGGAAUAACAUUUGGAAACAAAUGCUAAUACCCUAUACGCUCUUCGGAGGAAAGAUUUAUCGCUGAUAGAUGAGCCCGCGUCAGAUUAGGUAGUUGGUAGGGUAAUGGCCUACCAAGCCGACGAUCUGUAGCUGGUCUGAGAGGAUGAUCAGCCACACUGGGACUGAGACACGGCC